rnacentral:rRNA from 1 species
UGGGGAAUUUUGGACAAUGGGCGAAAGCCUGAUCCAGCAAUGCCGCGUGUGUGAAGAAGGCCUUCGGGUUGUAAAGCACUUUUGUCCGGAAAGAAAUCCUUGGCUCUAAUACAGUCGGGGGAUGACGGUACCGGAAGAAUAAGCACCGGCUAACUACGUGCCAGCAGCCGCGGUAAUACGUAGGGUGCAAGCGUUAAUCGGAAUUACUGGGCGUAAGCGUGCGCAGGCGGUUUGCUAAGACCGAUGUGAAAUCCCCGGGCUCAACCUGGGAACUGCAUUGGUGACUGGCAGGCUAGAGUAUGGCAGAGGGGGGUAGAAUUCCACGUGUAGCAGUGAAAUGCGUAGAGAUGUGGAGGAAUACCGAUGGCGAAGGCAGCCCCUUGGGCCAAUACUGACGCUCAUGCACGAAGCGUGGGGAGCAAACAGGAUUAGAUACCCUGGUAGUCCACGCCCUAACGAUGUCACUAGUUGUUGGGAUUCAUUUCCUAGUACGUAGCUACGCGUGAGUUGACCGCCUGGGGAGUACGGUCGC